ensembl:misc_RNA Metazoa_SRP Metazoan signal recognition particle RNA
UUUGGACAUGGUGGUGCAUGCCUGUGAUCCCAGCUAACAGGGAGGCUGAAGCUGGUGUAUCUGUAGAGCUCAAGGAUUCUGGGCUGCAGUGAGCAAUAGUGAUCAGGUGUCUGUACUAAUUUUAGCAUUAGUUUGGUGAACUCCUGGGAAGGGAGGAGGCAUCAGGUUGCCUAAGGAGGCACCAACCCAGGUCAGAAAGGGAUCAAGUCAAAGCUCCCACACCAAUCAGUAGUGGAAUCAAAUCUACUAGUAGUCAUUGUCUUUCCAGCCCGGGCAAGAAAGGGAGAACUAGUCUUUU